AGACAUGAGCGACAUGGGUCAAAGUGUAAUAUUUGCUCUUGCCAUUAUGAUAUCUGAUACGGGUUCUAUUUGGACCGACGAUAUUCAACUUAUUUUUGCAAGUUGGCGGAGUGCUUGAAGCUUGCUCCACCUCCGCCGCGGGUCGGCCCGGGAUUGUACCAUCUCUGGAAUCGGCGCACGGUUU